rfam:Capsella rubella cultivar Monte Gargano unplaced genomic scaffold scaffold_12, whole genome shotgun sequence.
AAACCGUGGUGAGGCGCUGUGACUGAUAGCUUUUGAAUCUCUCCCACGCUUCAUAAAACGUUUCAUUGUUGCGCUGAGCGAAGCUAGAGAUGUCGUUCCUCAAUCU